CGGCACGGGUGAGUAACACGUAUCCAACCUGCCGUCUACUCUUGGACAGCCUUCUGAAAGGAAGAUUAAUACAAGAUGGCAUCAUGAGUCCGCAUGUUCACAUGAUUAAAGGUAUUCCGGUAGACGAUGGGGAUGCGUUCCAUUAGAUAGUAGGCGGGGUAACGGCCCACCUAGUCUUCGAUGGAUAGGGGUUCUGAGAGGAAGGUCCCCCACAUUGGAACUGAGACACGGCCAA
rnacentral:rRNA from 1 species